rnacentral:sRNA from 2 species
CAGAAAAGGAGAACACAGGAUCUAAGAAUCAUCGCCACCGACGAGAGAGAAUGUAGUAUGUAAGUUAACACGAAGUUUGAAUAGAUAUAGCGCCGUUCUGGGGUUCAAUUGUGCGAGUACUAGUACGUUUGUACAGACUACAGAGAGAAAACGUGCAUUCGAAAUCUUGCAGAUUAAAAUGUAAAUGACUAUCUCAUCAACUUUCGAGAAAGAUCAUGUUUCAUUAUUUGGAACUACACUAAUAAUUUUACAGAGUACAUACAGCUUGUUUUUAUCAUUAGUUAGUAGUUGAAAGUUUUAAAAAUUUCUUCGUUAAUAUUCAAAAUGUUGUACGUAUAUUUAAAUUAUUUGAACUUCUCAAUGCUUCUUUUUCCUUACAUUGAAAUUCAUUCUUAAACCUGCUCAAGAUAAGGACUUAGAUCCCUACACACGCUAUAGUAGAAACUUCAAUGAUAAGCAUCGUAUAAACCAGUUAACAAGUUUCCAGCCCUAGCUAAAAAAAGA